rnacentral:snoRNA from 2 species
UUGGGGGCUGUGAUGCGACGUGAUAAGGGAUUUUCUGAGGGACGGAGCCGCCUGGUUUCCGCCCUGCUGACUGACAGAAAUCAAUGGAUCCUUCUGAGCUUGCCC